rnacentral:rRNA from 1 species
CAUAGCCUACGGGGGGCAGCAGUGAGGGAUAUUGGGCAAUGGGGGAAACCCUGACCCAGCGACGCCGCGUGAGGGAAGACGGUCUUCGGAUUGUAAACCUCUGUCUUUGGGGACGAAAAAGGACGGUACCCAAGGAGGAAGCUCCGGCUAAAUACGUGCCAGCAGCCGCGGUAAUACGUAUGGUGCAAGCGUUAUCCGGGUUUACUGGGUGUAAAGGGAGCGCAGGCGGCACGGCAAGCCUGAUGUGAAAGCCCGCGGCCCAACCGCGGGACUGCAUUGGGAACUACCGGGCUGGA